rnacentral:siRNA from 1 species
UCACCAUCAGAUUUUUGGAUACA